GACGAACGCUGGCGGCGUGCUUAACACAUGCAAGUCGAACGGAAAGGCCCUGCUUUUGUGGGGUGCUCGAGUGGCGAACGGGUGAGUAACACGUGAGUAACCUGCCCUUGACUUUGGGAUAACUUCAGGAAACUGGGGCUAAUACCGGAUAGGAGCUCCUGCUGCAUGGUGGGGGUUGGAAAGUUUCGGCGGUUGGGGAUGGACUCGCGGCUUAUCAGCUUGUUGGUGGGGUAGUGGCUUACCAAGGCUUUGACGGGUAGCCGGCCUGAGAGGGUGACCGGCCACAUUGGGACUGAGAUACGGCCCAGACUCCUACGGGAGGCAGCAGUGGGGAAUAUUGCACAUUGGGCGGAAGCCUGAGGCAGCAACGCCGCGUGCGGGAUGACGGCCUUCGGGUUGUAAACCGCUUUCGCCUGUGACGAAGCGUGAGGGACGGUAAUGGGUAAAGAAGCACCGGCUAACUACGU
rnacentral:rRNA from 1 species